UAUCGUUCUUCAUGCAUUCUUCGAUUUGCUUGCCAAACAACUCACGAUGGUCAAGGACCACCUUGCAAGGCUAAAUACUCCUGGGUGACCGAUAGCGAAGUAGUACCGUGAGGGAAGGGUGAAAAGAACCCCCAUCGGGGAGUGAAAUAGAAUAUGAAACCAUAAGCUCCCAAGCAGUGGGAGGAGCCAGGUCUCUGACCGCGUGCUUGUUGAAGAAUGAGUUGGCGACUCAUAGGCAGUGGCUUGGUUAAGGGAACCCACCGAACUGGAUCGUCUUCGCGCCGAGGAACGAUCCGUGAGUCGACAAGAGCUCGACGCAGAGUAUCGUCGACUUAGAAAUAGCGGGGAAGUUCUCACCAUCGAGAACGACA
rnacentral:lncRNA from 1 species